CAACGGUGAACAUUCAACGCUGUCGGUGAGUUUGACACUGAACGAAACCAUCGACCGUUGACUGUACCCCGAGG
rnacentral:pre_miRNA from 13 species